rnacentral:rRNA from 1 species
UGGGGGAUAUUGCGCAAUGGGGGAAACCCUGACGCAGCAACGCCGCGUGAAGGAAGAAGGUCUUCGGAUUGUAAACUUCUGUCUUAUGGGAAGAAUAAAUGACGGUACCAUAGGAGGAAGCCACGGCUAACUACGUGCCAGCAGCCGCGGUAAUACGUAGGUGGCAAGCGUUGUCCGGAUUUACUGGGUGUAAAGGGCGUGUAGGCGGGUAAUUAAGUCAGAUGUGAAAUUUAUGGGCUCAACCCAUAAACUGCAUUUGAAACUAAUUAUCUUGAGUGUCGGAGAGGAAAGCGGAAUUCCUAGUGUAGCGGUGAAAUGCGUAGAUAUUAGGAGGAACACCAGUGGCGAAGGCGGCUUUCUGGACGAUAACUGACGCUGAGGCGCGAAAGCGUGGGGAGCAAACA